rnacentral:rRNA from 1 species
UACGUAGGGGGCGAGCGUUGUCCGGAUUUAUUGGGCGUAAAGAGCGUGUAGGCGGUUCGGUAAGUCUGUCGUGAAAUCCUGGGGCUCAACCUCGGGCGUGCGAUGGAUACUGCCGGGCUAGAGGAUGGUAGAGGCGAGUGGAAUUCCCGGUGUAGCGGUGAAAUGCGCAGAUAUCAGGAGGAACACCAAUGGCGAAGGCAGCUCGCUGGGACGGUAUUGACGCUGAGACGCGAAAGCGUGGGGAGCAAACAGG